rnacentral:rRNA from 1 species
UACAGAGGUCUCAAGCGUUGUUCGGAUUCAUUGGGCGUAAAGGGUGCGUAGGCGGCGCGGUAAGUCGGGUGUGAAAUCUCGGAGCUUAACUCCGAAACUGCAUUCGAUACUGCCGUGCUUGAGGACUGGAGAGGAGACUGGAAUUUACGGUGUAGCGGUGAAAUGCGUAGAUAUCGUAAGGAAGACCAGUGGCGAAGGCGGGUCUCUGGACAGUUCCUGACGCUGAGGCACGGAAGGCCGGUAGGGACGCAAAACGGGGAUUAGAACU